GGCCACCUGGCGCAAUGGUACCGCAUCACUUUCCGAUCAACGGAUCAUGGUGAAGAUUACGGGUUCGAAUCCCGUGGUGGUCG